CAAAAAUGAAAUAUCCAUCUUCCUCAUCCUUUCCCCGCGACCCUCGCCCCUUUGUCGUCUCUCGACCUUUCCCUCGCCACCCUCCUUUCUCUCCUUGUCCUCUUUUCAGCAUGCAGUGUGCAUGGCCAUUAGAGACUUGAGGUGAUUGGGAAUGGAAAACCUCACAGCCAGCGAAAUAGCCGGGUUUGGAGUCGGCGCGCUGCUGCUCUGCGCCACCAUCGCCGCCCCUAGAGUGGAUGCCUUCAUAUCCUCCUCUCAAAGAAGUUCUCUGGGAAUGUGCAAGAGAUGUGGUGAUCUGAGGAUGAUAGCUUGCUCACAAUGCAAAGGAGUGGGUUCGGUCAAAAAAGGAGGGCCCUUUGGUUUCAGCAUGCUUUAUGAUUUUUUUGAGCCACCUGGAGAUGGAAGCAUGCCAAAACAGUUGAUACCAUGUAAGAAAUGUCAAUCUAAAGGGCGCAUGCAAUGUCCUGAUUGCUCCAGGUUUUCAUUAAUUUAUCAACGGAGUGACCCUGAAAGCUAAGGAGGGUGAUUUUAGGGUUGAUGCAGGCUUCUUUGGAUUAUGAUACUGGAUCUCCUUUAUUUGUUGAAACCAUGUGAUCAAUCAUUCAUCUCUGAUGCAUUCUUCGAAGCAGAUCAAGCAACCAACCCCUUUGCUACAGUGUAAUCUUGGAGAUUCUGCUUUAGUACUUGAAAUUGUAGUAGCACUCAAUUGUACUCUGUUGCAAAAUAUUAAACUUCCAAAAUUCUAGGGAUGCAUGUCAUGGUGAUACAAACAUGAUUCUUAAAUAAUUAUUUUAAAAGAAUGGAAUGAGGCUUUUGUUAUGUUUGUUA